rnacentral:rRNA from 1 species
GACGAACGCUGGCGGCGUGCUUAACACAUGCAAGUCGAACGGAAAGGCCCUGCUUUUGUGGGGUGCUCGAGUGGCGAACGGGUGAGUAACACGUGAGUAACCUGCCCUUGACUUUGGGAUAACUUCAGGAAACUGGGGCUAAUACCGGAUAGGAGCUCCUGCUGCAUGGUGGGGGUUGGAAAGUUUCGGCGGUUGGGGAUGGACUGGCGGCUAAUCAGCUUGUUGGUGGGGUAGUGGCUUACCAAGGCUUUGACGGGUAGCCGGCAUGAGAGCGGGGCCGGCGUCCAGGGGCCUACGGUAGGCACCAGAAGCGAAUGGGCGGCAGCGGGGGGAAGCCUUACAGAGCGGGGGGACGUGAGUGACGACAGCGCCGGGUGCGGAAUGCCGGGUUUCGGGGUGAAAACAGAUGUCGACGUAGACGAGGAGGGAGUGACGGUAAUGGGUAAGAAAGCACCGGCUAACUACGUG